UGUCGCCGCAGGACUCACAGGAGUGCGUUGCACUUCACACGUCUUGGUCGGACCCAUUUUGAGGUUAUAUGUGGUUAUGUUGUCAACCCAAAGCAAGGAGGUUUAAAUGUAUAUAUGUACUUAUAUUCAAUAUCUCUGACCCGAAGUGUCAAAAUUCUAGUUUUUCUAGUUACAUUCUCCUAAAAGUUUCCACUAAACAGGAUAGCCACUACAGUAUUUUGCAAAUUUUUAAGCGGAAUCAAGGUCAUCCUUACCUAAACCGUCAUUUUCCUGUGUUCAAGGGCAAAAUAAUUGAAAUCGACUGUUUGGACUCUUGAAUUAAAGACUAUAUUCGUUUGUCAAUGGUGGGGCAGUGGCUUGUCUGUGUAGUCUGUGGUGACAUUGACAUCACACUUUUAACCUCAAAACUAACCUAUGUAUGUCAAAAGAGACAAAAUUAUAAAGUUUAAAAACAUCAGUAUCGAUUAAUUUAUUAAUUAUGAACAAUCAAGUAAAAAUCAAAGUGAUUGAUUACCGCUUUUUGGACAGAAGCUCUGGUGUGUAAAAAAAUGUAGCUUCCAGAAAAGUCUGUAUUAAUAAAUUUUUGAGUCCCCUUGACGCGACUUAACAAUCACGGUCAGUACAAAUUCCAUGCCCCAUAACAAAGUAGUGUCAUAUAUCUGAUAAAGCAAAUGUCAAAUUCCAACAGUUUGUAGUAUUUGAACAUUUAGAGCACCUUUAAAUUUACUCAGCUUGUCAGCCCGGCCAUAUAAACGUAGUUAAUAUGUCAAUAGAAGUGCAAAUUUUACCAGAUAAAGUGAGAACUUUUGCUCAAGGAGUUCGAAGACUCUUCCUGAAGUGGUCAGUUCAGAGACCUGUGUUGUCCAUGACAUGCGUCAUUGUUGGAACAGUCACACUGUUACCAUUAGUCACAGCAGCAACUUUAAUGCCUAUGGCAUUAUUACUUACAUAUACAGGAGUUUUAGCGUCACAUGGGAUUUUCUAUGUGACAUACAAUGUAUUUAUCCAAGGACUGUUGCUAGCCAUGGUAAUUGUGGCGUUGUUUAUUAUAAGUUUCGCAGUUGCCACAAGUGUAAGUGUGUUCCAUUCAUAUAGAAUAUUUAGGAGGUCAGUUUCAAUAAAGAAAAAAGAAUGAAUUUUAAAAUACGUUCCUGUUCAAAUGACAUCUACAAUAUAUCUAAACGUUAAAAAGGCUUAUGUACAUAUGUUAAUAUAAAUUGUGAUAUUGCAACUUAGUGUACUAACUUAAUAUUAUUUUUUUAUUAUUGUUAUUUUCCUGUAUUAUUCGAUUCUCAUAAUCUUCUUUGGAAACGUUUUUUAAUAAAGUCCAUAAUUUUUUC